CCUACGGGAGGCAGCAGUGGGGGAUAUUGCACAAUGGGGGGAACCCUGAUGCAGCGACGCCGCGUGGGUGAAGAAGCGCCUCGGCGCGUAAAGCCCUGUCAGCAGGGAAGAAAAUUACGGUACCUGAAGAAGAAGCCCCGGCUAACUACGUGCCAGCAGCCGCGGUAAUACGUAGGGGGCAAGCGUUAUCCGGAGUUACUGGGUGUAAAGGGGGCGCAGACGGCGAUGCAAGCCAGGAGUGAAAGCCCGGGGCCCAACCCCGGGACUGCUCUUGGAACUGCGUGGCUAGAGUGCAGGAGGGGCAGGCGGAAUUCCUGGUGUAGCGGUGAAAUGCGUAGAUAUCAGGAGGAACACCGGUGGCGAAGGCGGCCUGCUGGACUGCAACUGACGUUGAGGCCCGAAAGCGUGGGGAGCAAACAGGAUUAGAUACCCUUGUAGUC
rnacentral:rRNA from 1 species